CAAACAGCCAACGAGGCUCCCUCAAUCUCGAUCUGUUUCAUCUCAGCCUCCAGCCCCGAGAGGAGCCGCCGCCGCCGCCGCCGAGAGGAGACGCCCCAGCCCAAGAGGAGCCACCGCCGCCGCCGCUGCCGCCGCCGAGAGGAGACGCCCCAGCCCCGAGAGGAGCCUCCGCCGCUGCCGGGGAACGAGGUCGCCGCCGCCUCCAGGUCGCCGCCGUCACGCACCGCCUCCUCCAGGUCGCCGCCGUCACGCACCGCCUCCUCCAGGUCGCCGCCGUCACACACUGCCUCAGGUCCGUUGAUCUCUCUCCUCCUCGCCACUCUUCACUGCCAGCCCCACACAGCUCUGCCUCCACGGCGGGGAUUCACUCUAUGGCGUUCAAGAGAGGUGGCUGCAGCCGCCAUGCUGCCGAUCCGGUCCUUGCUGCUGGAUCCGGACCUCUCCACCCCUCCUCCCGGUCCGAUCCAAUGGCGUUCGCACGGCGUCGAUCUCCCGGAUGGCGUGAGGUCCUAGCGGCAACGUCAGGCCCCUUGCGAUUGGGGUCAAUUUGAGGUGGCUCCGGUGGAAACGUGGAACACAUCCCAUUGUUACAGGGGCUCCCGAGGCGACAUCCAGUUGCUCUGCGUGCGGGGGUUAUUUUCACCUCUGUUUGCUUUUGCUUUCGUUGUCCGCGCUCAAUCUCUGUGGCUGGUGGUGCAAGCUCCGCAUGCACUCGUCCGAGCUUGCCGAGCAGUCUGCACUGAAGCAAACUCACUGGUCGUCCUUUUCCUUUUCAGUUUGAGAUAGACAGAAGUAUGUAUGUGUCGUUCGUUCGUUGUAGUUGCUGCUGUUCAAAUCUCAGCAUCAUUAUACAGUACCGGCCAUUCUCGCUGACACUAACGGUACUUGGAGAUUUACCAACAAUGGCAGUAGACAUCUUCCUAAACUCCGUUCACACUGCCGGCCCCCAAUUUGUUUCCAUUCCCUGACAUGCAUAAGAUAUCUGCGAUAUUUGCCGAAUUAUUAUUUGCAGGUUUGAAGUACCAGGGCACAAUGGCUGAUAGGGCACUGGAGGAACUGCACACCAUGGUUCAGACACCAACUUCCCUGAUGCGACCAACUCAUCAGUUCAGUGAGCAUUGUAUCCUCUUACUGUUGCCAUAAUUACAUGCAUUUCACUUUUGCAUUAUAUGUGUACUAUUGCAUGGUAGUUGAACACGAAUUUGGGUUACUUGACAUCGUAAAAUAUGGUGGCUACUCUUGGAUCCGGUGAAUCUGGUGGUUCUGCUUAUAUUAUGUAUUGUGGGACUAUUGAGUUCACAACGCUUUCCAAAUACUCAUAUGUGAUUUCUUUUUGAUUUAUACUCGUGCAGAAAAAAUCUUGAUUCUUGAAUUGUUGAAGGCAGCUGUAGCUAAGGCUGGUUACACUAGAAGAAUUUUUUUGUCUAUACAUAGUUCAUGAUUCAGCCCUUGUGUACUAAUUCAUGUGUGACGGUUGGUCAUUGAACUGGAUGUUGCUGCUUCUGAAUGUUACGGUGAAAAGGAUCAGACUCAUCAGCCUCGAUUUUCUUGUGUCUUGAAAUGCAGGGGAACGACAUUGUAAGCUUGGUUAGUUUGAUGUCCUACGGAGAAGCAAAAUUGGUUGUGCCCACUGCCAGAAGAUUCAUCUUUGUACUCUCUUCUCCAUUUAUCAGUGCAACGAGAGGCAGAGUUAGUCAUGGUGAUGAUCAUAUUGUAUUAUUGUGAUGCUUGCAGACUGGGAGUGUAUUUAUACUUCAUGCUUAUGAGUUAUGAUGAAUCAUUUCGAUGGCAUUACAUAGGUCAGUGGGAAAAGGUCAUUAGGGACUAGCAUGUUUCACUGUUGUGAUUACAAACUAAAACUUGUGCAAGUAUGAUAAAUGGGUGCAUUGAUCUCUUUUUUGUUGUAGUGCAACACCUUGGAGAUGCACACAAUUUGAUAUUACAGUUCUAUAACAUCUCGGAGAUGCACACAAGUUGGUGCCUCUUUUUCUACUAUCAAUGAUGUUUGCUGCAGAGAUUUUACUUGAGUUGUGGUUCUUGGUUGAAAGCCCCUUUUCAUCAUAGUUUACUUGAAGGCAGCUUGAGUCAUCUUUGGAAGCAAUAUUUCUAAGUUUUUUAUUUAUAAAGAACCAUGUUAUAUUUGUUUGUUUUUUGUAUAAGCGGCAGAUCUUUUAAACAGAUAUUGUGAUUAAAAUUAUGACAGCAUGGAUGUUCAUCACUAUUCUUUUUGGACUUGAAUAGAUCUAUGUCUAAAUUACACAUAAUGUCUACGAGUAAAUUAUUAUAGAUUGACUUUCAUGUCGACGUCUUUCUUGGAUCUGUGAUGAAGCAUAGUCAUCUUAGUACUAUGUUGCUUUCUACAUGUCUUCUCAUGACCUUAUUACAGAUUCUGUUUAUAUGGUUUUAAACAAAUAUGAUAUUUUUGUAGCACAUUUCGUAUAAGUUUUUCUCCUACUACAGAGAUAACUUUAGUUUAGUCCGUAAACUUGCAGGUCAGUUCUGAUGUAUGUUCAAUAGCUCAAUUUUGUUUUGACCUACUACAUUUAGUCAAUGUUAGCUCUAGCAUCAACACUAACUGUCACUCUCAUGCCACCCCAUGGACGCCUCUGACCCAGAGUUUCCUUCUGCAGUUUGUUGAAAAUGAAGUGCUUCCACCAGCAUGAGUAUUCCAUGAAAAUCAGACUUAAUGUUGGUAAAACAUGAUGCUCCAGUAUCUAUAGAUAUCAUCUAGAUCAAGGAUAUAAAUUAUCAUCUGCAUCCCUAUGUUGUGUUUUGACGGAUGGUUGUGGCUGAACCCGCAAAUCCUCAUUCAGAUUUAGAUGUACAGGAUAAGAGUGUCGAGAAAGUCAAUAUAUGGCUUAGUGCGGCACAUAAGUUGUCUACUAGGUAGUUAUGCAGACAUCCUUCCACCUAGGUGCUUAUGCACACGUGUACUUUCUGUUGUAGUAGUUAAUUGAAGUCUUUGUUUUUUUAAUAUGGUUUCUUAAGAUCUAAUUUUAGUCAGUAAACUUGCAGGUCAGUUCUGAUGUACUCCCUCCGGUCCUUUUUACUCUGCACAUCGGAUUUGCCGAAAGUCAAACUUAGCUAAGUUUGACCAAAUUUAUAUUAGAAAUUAUUAGCAUCUAUAAUAUCUAAUAAAUAUAAUAUGAAAAUAUAUUCCGAGAUGAAUCUAAUGAUGUUGGUGUUGUUAUGUAAAUGUCAAUAAUUUUUUAUAUAAACUUGGUCAAAGUUGGAUGAGAUUGACUUCAGACAAACCUAAUAUACAGAGUAAAAAGGACCGGAGGGAGUAUGUUCAAUACCUCACCGAUUCCUUUCCCAUCGAACUCUGUUUUCUUUCUUUCUUUUAAUCGUUGUUUUGGAUAUUCACUAAUUAGCCUGACUAUAUACAUACCAAACAUCAGGUAUGUCACUAAUUCACUUCCUUCCCUUCCCUUCGUCUCUCAGCUCCUUGCUCGUGGCGUUGAAGUGGUGGCGACAGGCGAUGGCGGCGGCGUUGUCGAUUGCGGUGAGGACAUCCCGUGGCAUCCCUCGAAGCACCAACACGACGCCACCUGGUCUACCAUCUCCAUAUGGGCGAGUUCUCUUGAUCCCCAGCGUACUCUCUCACCUCCUCCAAAUUCCUCGACCCCUAACUUCUCGAUCCCUACCAGGCUACCACGAUCUGAUCCGAAGGCCGAUGCAGCUCCGGGCUAUUGAUAAUGGAGGUUGAGGAUCCUUCCUCUCAGCACCCACUCAUGGCAGAAUCAGCAGCGUGCCACGCGGAUGGAACCCGGCCGAGAUCAUGGGAUGCUUCCACACAGGGCUCGCCAAGAUUGCAAUUCUGAACUUUUUUGUAAACAAAGUGAAGAGUGGGACAUGAUCUGUACUUGUGCUAAUAUAAAAUAUACAGUACUUGUAUGUAUCUCGAUCCACUAUGUCUGAUCACAAGGUGACAAUGGCGGCAUAGCAGCCCGGAGGAGACGGCGGCGAGCCCCCCUCCUCCAACUGUAGCAAUUCACCAGGUGGCGGCACGAACAACCUUCAUCUCUAGAUGCUUCCCUGCACACCGAUGAGAUUCACGCUGAUGGUCUUGACUCCUAACCAAUGUCUUUUAGGCCUGAAGUCCCUGUAGUACCCAAGGUCGAGUGACCACUGCUGCGCCUCGCCGUGUCCUGACUCCUGACCAAUGUCCUUUAGCCUCCGGUCUCAGUUUCUUUAUGCAUAAUUUUUUUAAAGAAAUCAAAGAUCUUGUUAUGUAAUGUUUAGUAUCUCUUUGUACCUCUGAUUUAUGCACCAAACUAGAAGGGGGUCAAGAAGGCAUGGAUGUUCAAUAUUUUUUCCAAUAAUAUAUGGUGAAAAAACAAUUUGAUUUUUGUAUACUUGUGUCUUUCAUGUUCACUUGGUCCAUUAGUUUAAUUUUCUUGAACUUCUAUUUGGAAGGAGGCAAACUGAUCAGAUGUCACCAUCUCACAUCUCAGUGCCAGUCUAUUGUUACAUUGGGAAGUAUUUGUUUAAUCUACUGACACCUGCAUAUUUGAUAUGAAAUGCAGGAAGGGCCACAACUAAUUAAUGUUCUCAUAAUGCUACCAUAAUUCUAUGCUUUCUCAUCUGUACUGGUAAUUGUUCAGGCAUAGAUGCAUUAUUCAGAAUGGGAGAACAAUACUUGUAUGAAUUGAUUACCCUCCUGGUCAGUACUAUUUUUUAUUAUAAGUAUUCAGUUGCCUGCAAAAUAAUUCUAUGAUAGACAUCUAACUGCAUGUUGUUGUGUGACCUGCACCUAAACUGGUAACAGAAACAACAAACUGCUUGAAACUCGGCGCCUUUGUAUUUGCUCUCAUUUGUUGAGGUUCAGUUUCACAAAUUAGACACACUAUGAACCUGAUAGCAUUUUUAUCUUAGUUUAGGCAUCCAUACAACCUGAAGAAACUGCGCCAUUUGAGCACCAGAACAUCUAGGGUCUAAACAGAUGUGCUGUUGAUGCUGCUACAUGCAGCAACCUGAUGAACGCCCUCAAGGUAGUAAUGAAUGUUUUUUAGGUGCCAUCUUGUUUCUUGAUUUUGGUUAUUUGACUGAUGCUAGACCUUGGUAACUUGAUCACACACACACGCGCGCGCGCACACACACAGAGUACUUGUAGGCGAGUUCAGCAUGACAUUCCUGAUCAUAUGUUGGUUUGUGUAUUUCAUAAUUAGUUAGACUACCAUAUCCCAAGUGUAUAUUUUUAAUUGCCUAAACAAGUAUAGAAAUGCUCUGCAUCAGCAUCCAAAAGGAGUUUUACAGUCUAUUACAAUUGCCACUCAGAAAAUCUGAAAAUUGUCACUACAAGACCGUCCAAUAUUUUUGAAUUAGUGACUAUAAGUAAACAUCUGGGCUGAUGUUGUUAUUUAUACAAGUAUGACCAAGUUAUUCAUCUUGGCCUCUGGAAUAAUUGAAUCAAGAACAAGAACCUUGAAAAGUUGUUAUUAUUAUUAUGCCGCACGAGAAAAAUAUUUCUUUAGCGUAUAGUAUUACCGUUGUGACACUUUUUGAGUCCCACAACAAUGGACGGUUAUCCUUAUAUAUUUUCACAAUCUUCAGAUUUGGAGGGUGAGAUGCUACAUCAGUUCAACUUCAAGCUACCUUGCUUCUUUGUGAGGGAACCAAUCAACUAACUGAAUGAAAUAAUUUCAGCAUUCCAUUUCUUUAGGACAAUUGCAGCAAGGAAGUCUAAAAUUGAUGCACCGGAGCAGCGUGAUGCCCUUAUUAAUCUUGAUGUACCUAUCCCUUUAUUUAGGACAAUUACAGCAAGGAAGUAGGAGGAAGAAGAAAUGCAGGCGACCUCAUGAAAGCCAACAACAAAGAUCCACAUUUUGCGAAAUGUAGAAGUGAGAGGAGGAACCAUGAAUUUUUAACGAGCAUUAGUUUGUGGCUCACGGAUGAAGAUUGCAAGUACUACUUUGUAACAGUUCCAAAUAGCUGAUCGUGCUUUGAAAUUAAGCCUAUCGGAAGCAAAAAAUGAAAGUUAGGUCCCCUGUAACAUGGUGAGGGCACUCAAGUCCUGAGCUUGCUACGUAAAAUUAGUUGCCAUAUAUUUUGGAUUUUUUAAAAGUCUGGAGUAUACAUAUACUAUUUUCAAUAUCUGACUAUUUUUAUAUUUCUAAUGGAAAUUAAGGGAUGGCAUGGUUUGCAUACAUGAAUUAGGGUCAUUGCUCUGUUUUUGUGUCCUUUCUCCUUUUGGAGGCCUACUCCAGAUUCAAAUUUGAAUACUGCCCAUUCAUGCUUUUAGGAAGGGAAUGAAAUGCUAAGAUGAUUUAAGUAUUGAACUGAGAAAAUAUAGGUUUCAGAUUCUUUUUACUGAAAUAGAUUUUCAAUGUAAAAGUAUUCAUUAAAUAAAUACCUAAUUAGAAUAUGCAAUGUUUACAUAUAUUUUGCAAAUCGGUGGACACUCUCUCUGCGUUUAGAUGCAGGGUUAUUAGGUUAAUUUUCUUGCAAGGAAAAAAUGUGAUUUUAAGAGGUCAUUAAGCUACUCCCUUCGUCUGCGAAUAAGUGUACCUCUACCUUUUGGUCUAAGUCAAAGUUUUAAAUUUUUGACCAACUUUAUAGAAAAGAGUAGUAACAUAUAUGACAUCAAAUUGGUAUAUUAUGAAACUACAUUUCAAAACAAAUCUAGUGAUACUAAUUUAGUGCCAUAAAUGUUGGUACUUUUUCCUAUAAAGUUGGUCAAAGUUUUAAAACUUUGACUUAAGACAAAGGCUAGAUGUACACUUAUUCAUGGACGGAGGGAGUAGAACUUUAGAUCAAGAUGCGAUCUUCAACAUAGGAAGGCAUGGAUUCAGUGGCAAAAACUUUGAUUAGGAUGCGGCCCUCUAGGUAGGAAGGCACAGAUUCAACGGCAAAAAAUUUGGUCGGGAUGUAGCUCUUUAGGCAAGAUGACAUAGAUCCACAACAAGAACAUCAAUCAGGAUGGAUUCAACCAGUGUGCUAGAUCGUUGGAUGACAUAAUACAAUUAUGGUGUAGGUCGAUGGUGGUACUUUAGCUCCAACCAAACUCCGAUCCGGCUCAUCCGACCUCCAGUUUAGGUUCACUAUUCAUCAAUUUUAGUGCUACGUAUUCCUAUUUGCAUUAUACUUGGUGCAUAAAAUUAAUGAGUCAGCAAUUUAUUAUUAUUUGUUUGGACAAGGCCUCAGUCUGUUUGGAAUCAUAUUUCAAAAUAUACUUUUUUUGGAUUUUGUAAAGGUUGCAGAUAACAAGCCAUUGGGAGCUAAUGGUUCAGUUAGUCCCUGCAUUUUCUUGACCUUUUUCCUGUUAGGUAAAUAAACUACCAUGCAACUUUUCUAAUGCGAUUGUAAAGUUUUGCCAAUCCAAUGAGCAUAUGAGACUGAAAUAUUGGGUCCACUCUCAGGAACUAAACUGCUUACUUA